rnacentral:rRNA from 1 species
UACGUAGGGUGCAAGCGUUGUCCGGAAUUAUUGGGCGUAAAGAGCUCGUAGGCGGUUCGUCGCGUCGGCUGUGAAAUCCCGGAGCUCAACUCCGGGUCUGCAGUCGAUACGGGCGGACUUGAGUACUGCAGGGGAGACUGGAAUUCCUGGUGUAGCGGUGAAAUGCGCAGAUAUCAGGAGGAACACCGGUGGCGAAGGCGGAUCUCUGGGCCAUAACUGACGCUGAGGAGCGAAAGCAUGGGGAGCGAACAGG